rnacentral:sRNA from 1 species
GUUUAGCCCAGAUUGGAACGGCAUCCUUUUUCUUGUUUCUUUAACAAGGAAAAGAUAUAGUGGAAAGCUGGAACUAGC